GUUCUGUACCUGUGAGGGACGGCUCUUACAGGAGAAGGUUCUGUAUCUGUGAGGGACUGCUUUUAGGGGAGACGGUUCUGUACCUGUGAGGGACUGCUCUUAUCGGAGAAGGUUCUGUACCUGUGAAGGACUGCUCUUAGGGGAGAAGGUUCUGUACCUGUGAAGGACUGCUCUUAGGGGAGAAGGUACAGUACCUGUGAGGAACUGCUCUUAGGGGAGAAGGUUCUGUAUAUGUGAGGGACUGCUCUUAGGGGAGAAGGUUCUGUAUAUGUGAGGGACUGCUCUUAGGGGAGAAGGUUCUGUUUAGAAAGAGUUUUUCACUGUAGGUUUUUUGGAGGACAAAGAGGUAAAAGGUUAUGUGAAGUCAUUACAGCAGUGACAAUCUAUCAUUAACUGAUCAUGAAUUUACUCUCAUCCUGAUAUCAGACGUGUGUGUGUG
ensembl:lncRNA